rnacentral:rRNA from 1 species
GAAAAAUAACCUCGGGCAACUGAGGAUAAUGUUUCAUAGUUGAAAAGGCUUGGAAAAGUUUUUCGACCAAAAGGAUAAGAAAAAUGGUUUUUAUCCGCUAUAGGAUAGGAUCGUGGUCGAUUAUGGUCGUUGGUGAGGUAAUGGCUCACCAAGCCGAUAAUCGAUAGGGGCCGUGAGAGCGGGAGCCCCGAGAUGGGUACUGAGACAACGACCCAGGCCUUACGAGGCGCAGCAGGUGCGGAACCUCCGCAAUACACGAAAGUGUGACGGGGUUACCCAAAGUGUUCAUUAUUGAACUGUGGUAGGUGAGUAAUGUCCCCUACUAGAAAGGAGAGGGCAAGGCUGGUGCUAGCCGCCGCGGUAAAACCAGCUCUUCAAGUGGUCGGGAUGAUUAUUGGGCUUAAAGUGUCCGUAGCCGGUUUAGUAAGUUCCUGGUAAAAUCGGGUAGCUUAACUAUCCGUAUGCUAGGAAUACUGCUAUACUAGAGGGCGGGAGAGGUCUGAGGUACUAUAGGGGUAGGGGUGAAAUCCUAUAAUCCUUAUAGGACCACCAGUGGCGAAGGCGUCAGACUGGAACGCGCCUGACGGUGAGGGACGAAAGCCAGGGGAGCGAACCGGAUUAGAUACCCGGGUAGUCCUGGCCGUAAACGAUGCAUACUAGGUGAUGGCACGGCCAUGAGCCGUGUCAGUGCCGUAGGGAAACCGUUAAGUGUGCCGCCUGGGAAGUACGGUCGCAAGGCUAAAACUUAAAGGAAUUGGCGGGGGAGCACCACAAGGGGUGAAGCCUGCGGUUC